AGUUAAACAGUACAAUUGUACCGGUCUUGAAAACCGGCGUGCGGGAAACCGUACCGUGGGUUCGAAUCCCACCUCUUCCGCCA
rnacentral:tRNA from 1 species